UGUGCGAAAAACUGGAGAACUUGAGUGUGGGAGAGGCAAGCAGAACGGUAUGAGUAGGGGUGCAAUCCGUUGAUACAUACCAGAAUACCAAAAGCGAAGGCAGCUUGCUGGAACACUACUGACACUGAGAGACGAAAGCGUGGGGAGCGAAAGGGAUUAGAUACCCCUGUAGUCCACGCCCUAAACGAUGGAUGCUAGGUGUUGGACGUAAGUUCAGUGCUCAAGCUAACGCAUUAAGCAUCCCGCCUGAGGAGUACGGCCGCAAGGUUAAAACUCAAAUGAAUAGACGGGGACCCGCACAAGCAGUGGAUCAUGUGGUUUAAUUCGACAAUAAACGAGGAACCUCACCUAGGCUUGACAUUGAUAGAAUCCUCCAGAAAUGGAGGAGUGCCCGCAAGGGAGCUUGAAAACAGGCGCUGCAUGGUUGUCGUCAGCUCGUGCCUUGAGGUGUUCGGUUAAGUCCGUUAACGAGCGCAACCCACGUCGUUAGUUACUAUGUCUAACGAGACUGCUUGAGUUAAUCAAGAGGAAGGUGUGGAUGACGUCAAAUCAGCAUGGCCCUUAUGCCUAGGGCUACACACAUGAUACAAUGGUCGGUACAAACAGUCGCAAUACAGCAAUGUGGAGCCAAUCUGAAAAAGCCGAUCUCAGUCCAGAUUGGGGGCUGCAACUCGCCCCCAUGAAGUUGGAAUUGCUAGUAAUCGUAAAUCAGCUAUGUUACGGUGAAUCUGUUCCCGGGUCUUGUACUCACCGCCCGUCAAACCAUGGGAGGUGUGCGUACCUUAAGCCCUUCGAGCAAUACGGAGGUCCACGGUAAACACACUGACUGGGGUUAAGUCGUAACAAGGUAUCCGUACGUGAACGUGCGGAUG
rnacentral:rRNA from 1 species